CAAUACAGGCCUGAAAAGUAAAAAUAAAUCCCAUAUUAUGUAUGCCUGUGCGUCUACGGAAAGUCCAUACUUCUGUGUAGAGUUUGCUACUUGGACACUUCCAACUCCUUUCUAGUUGCCAUGACGUUCACCUCUAUGGCUUUCGGUGCCCUACUGCUGUCUUUCUUCGCCACCGCCAUCGGCGUUAUAUCCCCAACUAAGGGAACAGGGGCCAAUGGUGCCACAGAACAUUUGUGCGGAAAUGCCACUUCCUGCAACUUUGGACAAAAGAGGAGCUGCAUACUAACGGACGCAACAAAAUCACCUGUCCGGUGCGUAUCAGCACACCAAACAUGUGAGUCCGUUUGGCAAGGAUAUUGCCAAAGCCCGUACGUUCCCAUUUGUAGAGAUGAGGUUACCGAGUGUUUGUGCAGCUGUGGGCAAAACGACGGAUUUUUCGGAUGAAUAAUGUAACAACCCCUGCCAUGGCCAUCUGACUUUUAUUUGUAUGAAUAAUAACACAUAAUUGAUCAAUGACAGCUACAAAAUUUGAGUAAGUAAACAAAA